UAGGACAAGAGAUUCAGAUUGGUCAUUAACUGAAGUGAAAAAGAAAGAAAGAAAUACUUACAUGCAUGAGUUGUUCAAAUCCAUGGUUGACGAUCUCCUCUGGCUUAUUCUUCUGACGCGCCUCCAGAUCGACGGUCGGCAUUACCGAUUCGAGGAGAUCUCGACCUAGUCGGGGUUGUUCUAGGAAUGACAUUCUUGUUACGACGUCCCCCUGAGCCGAACUUAACGGUGCCCCAGAGAGUGUGGUUGGUUUAUGCUUGGGCUCUUUGGAGGGUGGUAUAGGCCGGGCAUUAUUAUUUUUGAUCCUCACCACGGUAGGUUGG
rnacentral:lncRNA from 1 species